UACGGAGGGUGCAAGCGUUAAUCGGAAUUACUGGGCGUAAAGCGUGCGCAGGCGGUUUGUUAAGUCCGUUGUGAAAGCCCCGAGCUCAACUUGGGAAUUGCAGUGGAUACUGGCAGGCUGGAGUGCGGUAGAGGAAGGUGGAAUUCCCGGUGUAGCAGUGAAAUGCGUAGAUAUCGGGAGGAACACCAGUGGCGAAGGCGGCCUUCUGGACCAGUACUGACGCUCAUGCACGAAAGCGUGGGGAGCAAACAGG
rnacentral:rRNA from 1 species